CGAGAAAGCGCCGGGCCACGCGGGUGACAGCCGUGAGGGUGACGAGGAGAGGGAUCAUCGAAAGUUUCGGCGGGUGUCCCUCCGGUUGAACAGGCUACCAGCCGCAGAAAAAGGAGAAAAAACGGCAGCAAUACCGCAACAGA
rnacentral:ncRNA from 1 species